rnacentral:rRNA from 1 species
AACGAACGCUGGCGGCAGGCUUAACACAUGCAAGUCGAACGCCCCGCAAGGGGAGUGGCAGACGGGUGAGUAACGCGUGGGAAUCUACCCAUCUCUGCGGAACAACUCCGGGAAACUGGAGCCAAUACCGCAUACGCCCUUCGGGGGAAAGAUUUAUCGGGGAUGGAUGAGCCGGCGUUGGAUUAGCUAGUUGGUGGGGUAAAGGCCUACCAAGGCGACGAUCCAUAGCUCGUCUGAAAGGAUGACCAGCCACCUUGGGGGUGAGGCACGGCCCAAACUCCUACGGGAGGCAGCAGUGGGGAAUAUUGGACAAUGGGCGCAAGCCUGAUCCAGCCAUGCCGCGUGAGUGAUGAAGGCCUUAGGGUUGUAAAGCUCUUUCACCGAUGAAGAUAAUGACGGUAGUCGGAGAAGAAGCCCCGGCUAACUUCGUGCCAGCCGCCGCCGUAAGAC